rnacentral:tRNA from 2 species
GCGCCCAUAGCUCAGCUGGUAGAGCGGCUCCCUUUUAAGGAGAAGGUCAUAGGUUCGAAUCCUAUUGGGCGUACCA